ACGGGAGGCAGCAGUGGGGAAUAUUGCACAAUGGGGGAAACCCUGAUGCAGCAACGCCGCGUGAAGGAUGAAGGCCCUUGGGUCGUAAACUUCUGUUCUAAGGGAAGAUAAUGACGGUACCUUAGGAGCAAGUCCCGGCUAACUACGUGCCAGCAGCCGCGGUAAUACGUAGGGGGCAAGCGUUAUCCGGAAUUAUUGGGCGUAAAGAGUGCGUAGGUGGUUUCCUAAGCAUGGGGUUUAAGGCAAUGGCUUAACCAUUGUUCGCCCCAUGAACUGGGUUACUUGAGUGCUGGAGGGGAAAGCGGAAUUCCUAGUGUAGCGGUGAAAUGCGUAGAUAUUAGGAGGAACACCAGUGGCGAAGGCGGCUUACUGGACUGUAACUGACGUUGAGGCUCGAAAGCGUGGGGAGCAAACAGGAUUAGAUACCCUGGUA
rnacentral:rRNA from 1 species